rnacentral:rRNA from 1 species
AACUAGCUACUGAAAUCAUAGAGUUUCUUUAAACUCGUGAUGUCGUAAGGAAAAUAAUGAUAAUACCUUACUAAUAGUGUCGCCCAAAUCUGGUGCCAGAAGACUCGGUAAGACCAGAGACGCAAACGUUAAUCAUCUUAAACAGGCGUAAAGGGUUUGUAGGCAGCUUUUAAUACAAAAGCUAGAAUCAAAUAUAGGUUAUAGUGUAUAACGCUUAGAGGAGGGCUGAUAUCCGUAGAUCCUAAGUAGAAUACUAAGGGCGAAGGCCACUUUCCAUAAAUGAUUGACGCUGAGAAACGAAGGUUAGGGUAGGAAAUAGGAUUAGAUACCCCGGUACUCCUUUCAGUAAACGAUGAAUGGUAGUCUUUAGUUUAAUAAAACUAGAGUCGAAGUUAACGCGAUAACCAUUCCGCCUUGUGAGUACUACUGCAAGUAGAAAAAAAAAAUUAGUCGGUGCUCGAAGCAUUCGGA